CCCCUUGUUUUUCCUUUCACGUAUAUGUAUCUCCUUUAUGUUUUCCUUUAAUCUGCAACACGUCUAGUGUUGGCGUGCAGGACGCAGGCUGUGCA